CUGGGCGUAAGCGCGCGUAGGUGGUUAAUUAAGUCAAAUGUGAAAUCCCCGAGCUUAACUUGGGAAUUGCAUUCGAUACUGGUUAGCUAGAGUAUGGGAGAGGAUGGUAGAAUUCCAGGUGUAGCGGUGAAAUGCGUAGAGAUCUGGAGGAAUACCGAUGGCGAAGGCAGCCAUCUGGCCUAAUACUGACACUGAGGUGCGAAAGCAUGGGGAGCAAACAGGAUUAGAUACCCUGGUAGUCCAUGCCGUAAACGAUGUCUACUAGCCGUUGGGGGAUUUGAUCCUUUAGUGGCGCAGCUAACGCGAUAAGUAGACCGCCUGGGGAGUACGGUCGCAAGACUAAAACUCAAAUGAAUUGACGGGGGCCCGCACAAGCGGUGGAGCAUGUGGUUUAAUUCGAUGCAACGCGAAGAACCUUACCUGGCCUUGACAUAGUAGAGACUUUCCAGAGAUGGAUUGGUGCCUUCGGGAAUCUACAUACAGGUGCUGCAUGGCUGUCGUCAGCUCGUGUCGUGAGAUGUUGGGUUAAGUCCCGCAACGAGCGCAACCCUUUUCCUUACUUGCCAGCAUUUCGGAUGGGAACUUUAAGGAUACUGCCAGUGACAAACUGGAGGAAGGCGGGGACGACGUCAAGUCAUCAUGGCCCUUACGGCCAGGGCUACACACGUGCUACAAUGGUCGGUACAAAGGGUUGCUACACAGCGAUGUGAUGCUAAUCUCAAAAAGCCGAUCGUAGUCCGGAUCGCAGUCUGCAACUCGACUGCGUGAAGUCGGAAUCGCUAGUAAUCGCGGAUCAGAAUGCCGCGGUGAAUACGUUCCCGGGCCUUGUACACACCGCCCGUCACACCAUGGGAGUUUGUUGCACCAGAAGUAGGUAGUCUAACCGCAAGGAGGACGCUUA
rnacentral:rRNA from 2 species